rnacentral:rRNA from 1 species
AGAAUCAACGCUGGCGGCGUGCCUAACACAUGCAAGUCGCACGAGAAAGUGGAGCAAUCCACGAGUAAAGUGGCGCACGGGUGAGUAACACGUGAAUAAUCUACCUCCGAGUGGGGAAUAACUGAGAGAAAUCUUAGCUAAUACCGCAUAAUACCCACGGGUCAAAGCAGCAAUGCGCUUGGAGAGGAGUUCGCGGCCGAUUAGCUAGUUGGCGGGGUAAUGGCCACCAAGGCGAUGAUCGGUAUCCGGCCUGAGAGGGCGCACGGACACACUGGAACUGAAACACGGUCCAGACUCCUACGGGAGGCAGCAGUGGGGAAUUUUGCGCAAUGGGGGAAACCCUGACGCAGCAACGCCGCGUGGAGGAUGAAAUCCCUUGGGAUGUAAACUCCUUUCGAUAGGGAAGAUAAUGACGGUACCUAUAGAAGAAGCCCCGGCUAACUUCGCGCCAGCAGCCGC